CAGUAGCCGCGGUAAUACAGAGGGUGCGAGCGUUAAUCGGAUUUACUGGGCGUAAAGCGUGCGUAGGCGGCUUUUUAAGUCGGAUGUGAAAUCCCUGAGCUUAACUUAGGAAUUGCAUUCGAUACUGGGAAGCUAGAGUAUGGGAGAGGAUGGUAGAAUUCCAGGUGUAGCGGUGAAAUGCGUAGAGAUCUGGAGGAAUACCGAUGGCGAAGGCAGCCAUCUGGCCUAACACUGACGCUGAGGUACGAAAGCAUGGGGAGCAAACAGGAUUAGAUACCCCCGUAGUCCCUGUCUCUUAUAC
rnacentral:rRNA from 1 species